rnacentral:sRNA from 1 species
CGCUCUCUCUCUCUCUCUCUCUCUCUCUCUCUCUAUCUUAACUCAACUAUUCAGUUUCAAUUUUCAAAU